GACGAACGCUGGCGGCGUGCUUAACACAUGCAAGUCGAGCGGAGCGGCGAACGGGUGAGUAAGGCGAGAGUAACUGCCCCCCUCUCUGGGAUAACAGUUGGCAACGGAUGCUAAUACCGGAUCGCGGGGGAUGGCUCGCGGCCUAUCAGCUUGUUGGUGGGGUAGUGGCCGACCAAGGCGACGACGGGUAGCCGGCCUGAGAGGGCGACCGGCCACAUUGGGCUGAGAUACGGCCCAGACGCCUACGGGGGGCAGCAGUGGGGAAUAUUGCACAAUGGGGGAAACCCUGAUGCAGCAACGCGCGUGCGGGAUGACGGCCUUCGGGUUGGAAACCGCUUUCAGCCAUGACGCGGUAGUGGCAGAAGAAGCACCGGCUAACUACGUGCCAGCAGCCGCGGUAAUUC
rnacentral:rRNA from 1 species